AAACAUUUCAUCUACCAUUAUUACAGAUAUUGACGUAUACUUAAUAUGGUAUGUGUUUCUUGCAAGAAGAGAAAUUUGGUGGAUGCAUUCAACUUAGACAACGAAAUCAUAGUUUCGUUUGGCAUCAGCCUGAGGACCAAUGGAGGUUAGAUAGGACCAGUGCAGGUUGAAGUGGGUUUCGAGUCAACAGGUUUAACAGAAAGACAGGUUCAGGUACUCCAUUUACAGUGAUGAUGACAUAUCCCCUAGACCCCCACAACUCCACAAAUUUAAAUAUGUUUGAUCAAGUUCCAAAGAUCAAAGAUGGGCCUUAAUGAAAAACAUUAAUUCACUUAUGAGCUCAGAGCAGCGGAUGUUGUACAACAUACUUUAAACUAAAUUGUGAAUUUAAGGGAAAACAAAUACAUGUACUUGUGUAUUACAUGUACAUGCCUUUUGAAAGACAAUAAUAUUGCAUAGAAGUAAAGGGAAUAUCACUGUUGAUUAUUCUUUCUUAGAUAUAUUAGUAAAAAAUGUGCACAUGAUAGAAUACCAAUUCUUUAACUUCAAUCAAUGUGUUUGAGUUUUCCUUGUAAUUCAAAAUUUAGUUGAAACAUACAUCAUUGAUACAUUAAUGUACAUCAAAUUUUUAGAAAAGUUAGAAAAAUAAUGGAACUAAUUCAACCCCCCUCCUCCCUUAUACAUACAGUGAACAUAAACCUUCACCUGGGGAAAAUUACAGUUAGUUAAUGCAAUAUACAUGCAUUCUCAGUUAUCCAAUAGUGAGUUAUUGGUUGAUUAUGAAACUACAAUUAGGAAUCUUAAACUUAUGAAAGACACACCUAUCUGUGAGGGCAAGAUGGCUCAGAUGGACUUAGUGAUCCAUGGGUCUCUUUCCAUUGAUGUUACAUGUAAUUAUUUAUUGAAAUAUGAAAUGGUUAUUUAAACAUAUUUGGUGUAUUAUACUGUAUAGUGAUAUCAAUUUCAAAAAAUGUGUAUAGGUAAUAUAUUGGGUCCAGUCAUUACAAGAAAUUGUAUGAAAAAUAUCUAAAUAUUUAGGCAAUCAUUGUGAGUGAAAAAAGGUCAACUGCAAUAGCACACACUAUAGAUCACUCUUAAAUGGCUCAUAGAAACUUCUAGUAUUGUGAUGUUGAAUGCUCAAAGUGGUAAUUUGGGAAUGCUUAAUCAUUUAAGCUAUGACAAGGUCAGUAGUUUAUCUCUGCUGACUGUAUCUCUUAAAAUUCAUUUCUGGAAGGGAGGGGGUAGGGUAACAAAAUCUGACAUAGUUUCAGAUUAAACCUCAUUUGGUAUAUUUUUUUCUAUUCAGUAGUUUAGAUACUACUUGACUUAUUGUAAAAAUGAAAUAAAAUCAGAAAUUUUAUAAGCAGAAUUUUUUUGUUGUCAGAAAAUUUAUGCCCGAUAGUGUUAGAGAAACGCCAUAUUUAGGGUAAAUUUGGCCAAUUGCCAAGUCGAAUCAUCCCAAUGUUUUCCUUAGAUGCAUUUUGAAUUUCUAAUUAAUGUUGAUUUUUUAUCUGUUUGUGUUUAAUUUACAUAACUAUAUAUGACAAUCAAUAUUUCUGGUGUCAAUACAAUUUUUAUUGGC